UGGCAGUUCAAGUCUGCUGUCAAAGACCGGGGCUCAACCUCGGAAAGGCAGUGGAAACUGAACAGCUAGAGUAUGGUAGGGGCAAAGGGAAUUCCUGGUGUAGCGGUGAAAUGCGUAGAGAUCAGGAAGAACAUCGGUGGCGAAGGCGCUUUGCUGGACCAUAACUGACACUCAGGGACGAAAGCUAGGGGAGCGAAUGGGAUUAGAUACCCCAGUAGUCCUAGCCGUAAACGAUGGAUACUAGGUGUUGUCUGUAUCGACCCGGACAGUGCCGUAGCUAACGCGUUAAGUAUCCCGCCUGGGGAGUACGCACGCAAGUGUGAAACUCAAAGGAAUUGACGGGGGCCCGCACAAGCGGUGGAGUAUGUGGUUUAAUUCGAUGCAACGCGAAGAACCUUACCAGGACUUGACAUGUCGCGAAUCUUCUUGAAAGAGAAGAGUGCCUUCGGGAGCGCGAACACAGGUGGUGCAUGGCUGUCGUCAGCUCGUGUCGUGAGAUGUUGGGUUAAGUCCCGCAACGAGCGCAACCCUCGUGUUUAGUUGCCAUCAUUAAGUUGGGCACUCUAAACAGACUGCCGGUGACAAACCGGAGGAAGGUGGGGAUGACGUCAAGUCAGCAUGCCCCUUACGUCCUGGGCUACACACGUACUACAAUGGUAGGGACAGAGGGCAGCCAACCCGCGAGGGCGAGCUAAUCCCGUAAACCCUGCCUCAGUUCAGAUUGCAGGCUGCAACUCGCCUGCAUGAAGGCGGAAUCGCUAGUAAUCGCAGGUCAGCAUACUGCGGUGAAUCCGUUCCCGGGCCUUGUACACACCGCCCGUCACACCAUGGAAGUUGGCCACGCCCGAAGUCAUUACUCUAACCUGUAAAGGAGGAGGAUGCCGAAGGCAGGGCUGAUGACUGGGGUGAAGUCGUAACAAGGUAGCCGUACCGGAAGGUGUGGCUGGAUCACCUCCUUUUAGGGAGACCAUCUGAAACCUGACCGAACCUAAACUAUAGGUCAAGAAUCAGUUAUCCCUGGUCGUUCGAGGCAUAGAUGUCAAAGCUUUCAAACUAUUAACGGGUUCGGAACUCGCGGGCUAUUAGCUCAGUUGGUUAGAGCGCACCCCUGAUAAGGGUGAGGUCCCUGGUUCAAAUCCAGGAUGGCCCACCUGGAAAAAAGUGAUGAAUUUUCAGUAAUGAUUGAUGAUUCAUGUGUUAAACCACAGGUUCAAGAGUCAAGAAAUGAAAGCUCAAAACUUGCUUAGUGGGGGUAUAGCUCAGUUGGUAGAGCGCCUGCCUUGCACGCAGGAAGUCAGCGGUUCGAGUCCGCUUACCUCCACUCUCAUUAACGAACCAUCACCAACUAAAAAAGAAGUAGAAAUCAGCACCUAGACCAGUAGUCAAAAAACUCGUCAGAAUGCUGGAGUCUAGAACUCUAGUCAGAAUCUUGAAAACUGCAUAGAAAUUAA
rnacentral:misc_RNA from 1 species